CCAAUAGCGUAUAUUAAAGUUGUUGCAGUUAAAAAGCUCGUAGUUGAAUUUCGGGAUCAGUAGGGUUGGUCAUGCCUCUGGUAUGCACUGGUCUCACUGGUUCCUCCUUCCUGAUGAACCGUAAUGCCAUUAAUUUGGUGUUGCGGGGAAACUGGAUUGUUACUUUGAAAAAUUUAGAGUGUUUAAAGAAGGCUAACGCUUGAAUACAUUAGCAUGGAAUAAUGAUAUAGGACGUUCGAUCCUAUUUUGUUGGUUUCUAGGAUUGACGUAAUGAUUAAUAGGGAUAGUUGGGGGCAUUAGUAUUCAAUUGUCAGAGGUGAAAUUCUUGGAUUUAUUGAAGACUAACUACUGCGAAAGCAUUUGCCAAGGAUGUUUUCAUUAAUCAAGAACGAAAGUUAGGGGAUCGAAGACGAUCAGAUACCGUCGUAGUCUUAACCAUAAACUAUGCCGACUAGGGAUCGGAUGAUGUUAAUUUUUUAAUGACUCAUUCGGCGCCUUACG
rnacentral:rRNA from 1 species